GAUCGCUUAGCUCAGCGGUAGAGCGCUUCAUUCACAUUGAAGAAGUCGGGGGUUCAAAUCCCUCAGCGAUCA
rnacentral:tRNA from 1 species